rnacentral:rRNA from 1 species
UACGUAGGGUCCGAGCGUUGUCCGGAAUUAUUGGGCGUAAAGGGCUCGUAGGCGGUCUGUCACGUCGGGAGUGAAAACUUACAGCUUAACUGUGAGCGUGCUUCCGAUACGGGCAGACUUGAGGUAUUCAGGGGAGAACGGAAUUCCUGGUGUAGCGGUGAAAUGCGCAGAUAUCAGGAGGAACACCGGUGGCGAAGGCAGGUUCUCUGGGAAUAUCCUGACGCUGAGGAGCGAAAGUGUGGGGAGCGAACAGG